GUCGUUUGUUGUGUCGAUGGGCAAGCCCAAAAUCCACUAGAAAGGGCGAGAAAGAAUUCUAGAGGAUCUUGGGCGCGCGUACUCGACACUACUGAACUAC
rnacentral:pre_miRNA from 1 species